rnacentral:rRNA from 1 species
GAUGAACGCUGGCGGCGUGCUUAACACAUGCAAGUCGAACGGGAAACCUUUUAUUGAAGCUUCGGCAGAUUUAGCUGGUUUCUAGUGGCGGACGGGUGAGUAACGCGUGGGUAACCUGCCUUGUACAGGGGGAUAACAGUCAGAAAUGACUGCUAAUACCGCAUAAGCGCACAGGACCGCAUGGUCCGGUGUGAAAAACUCCGGUGGUAUAAGAUGGACCCGCGUUGGAUUAGCUAGUUGGCAGGGUAACGGCCUACCAAGGCGACGAUCCAUAGCCGGCCUGAGAGGGUGAACGGCCACAUUGGGACUGAGACACGGCCCAGACUCCUACGGGAGGCAGCAGUGGGGAAUAUUGCACAAUGGGGGAAACCCUGAUGCAGCGACGCCGCGUGAAGGAAGAAGUAUCUCGGUAUGUAAACUUCUAUCAGCAGGGAAGAAUUAGGACGGUACCUGACUAAGAAGC